GUCCAAGUGUCGCCGAGGUUUAAUAUACAAGAUAAAACCUAGUGGGUGCUUGGGUAUCACUGCUGCCCCCUAUCCUGGAUGAGCACUAUGCUAGAAUUACCCGUGAAAAUUGAUGGACCUGUAAAUUAAUUCUUUACUUUCACCUGAGAGUUUGACGCAUUUUACUUUCUAUCCUCUGGAAAAGAGGAAUUGGAUAAGAUGCAAAACAAAAUCAUGUUAACUCUAACGGCUCAACACCAUGUGGAGCUGGAGGAACACAGCAGGUCAGGCAGCAUCAGAGGGACGGGAAAGUUGACGUUUUAGGGUCGGGACCCUUCAGCAUCCAGCAUCUGCGGUUCUUGCUUUAAAUAUAACGGUUCGGUUCUGGAUUCAGGAAAAGUGAGCUAGCGUGGAUUCUUACUUUCCUCCGUGAAAAAGAAAAGGCUGGAAGUAUUGCUGGAACAACGUCCUGCAACUCUCUCUCUUUCUCGGAUAUUGUGGAUGUACCUGCACCAGCUUGCUGCAGUUAAAGAAAGCAGCUUACCAUCAUCUUCUCAAGGGCAACUAGGGAUGAGCACUUAAUGUUGGUCUGGACUGCGGUGGCCACACCCUGUGAGUGAAUUUAAAAAAAGAGGAGAUUGGGUCUGUGGUCUAGAUUACUAUUCCGGUGAUACAAUGUUUUGGGUAUAAGGGUUCAAAUCCUCUAUGCAGAUAAUGCAAUUUUGAACUCGAUUAAAAAUCUCAUUAAAAGCUA